rnacentral:rRNA from 1 species
CCUACGGGAGGCAGCAGUGGGGGAUAUUGCACAAUGGGCGAAAGCCUGAUGCAGCGACGCCGCGUGAGGGAAGACGGUCUUCGGAUUGUAAACCUCUGUCUUUUGGGAAGAAAAUGACGGUACCCAAAGAGGAAGCUCCGGCUAACUACGUGCCAGCAGCCGCGGUAAUACGUAGGGAGCAAGCGUUGUCCGGAAUUACUGGGUGUAAGGGGAGCGUAGGCGGGAUGGCAAGUAGAAUGUUAAAUCCAUCGGCUCAGCCGGUGGGUGCGUUCUAAACUGCCGUUCUUGAGUGAAGUAGAGGGGGGGGGGAGUGCGAGGGUAGCGGGGAAAGGCGUAGAUAGGAGGAGG